rnacentral:rRNA from 1 species
UACGGGGGGGGCAAGCGUUGUUCGGAAUUACUGGGCGUAAAGCGCGUGUAGGCGGCUCUUCAAGUCGAGUGUGAAAGCUCCAGGCUUAACCUGGGAAUUGCGCUCGAUACUGUUGAGCUAGAGUGUGGAAGGGGCUACUGGAAUUCCGUGUGUAGCGGUGAAAUGCGUAGAUAUACGGAGGAACACCGAUGGACGAAGGCAAUCUCCUGGGCCUGCACUGACGCUCAUGCACGAAAGCGUGGGGAGCAAACGAGG